GGGUAUAUGUCUUCGGAUAUAGAGACCGGCGCACGGGUGCGUAACGCGUAUGCAAUCUACCUUUCACAGAGGGAUAGCCCAGAGAAAUUUGGAUUAAUACCUCAUAGUAUAUAGCCCUGGCAUCAGGAUUAUAUUAAAGUCACAACGGUGAAAGAUGAGCAUGCGUCCCAUUAGCUAGAUGGUAAGGUAACGGCUUACCAUGGCUACGAUGGGUAGGGGUCCUGAGAGGGAGAUCCCCCACACUGGUACUGAGACACGGACCAGACUCCUACGGGAGGCAGCAGUGAGGAAUAUUGGACAAUGGGCGCAAGCCUGAUCCAGCCAUGCCGCGUGCAGGAUGACGGUCCUAUGGAUUGUAAACUGCUUUUAUACGAGAAGAAACACUCCUUCGUGAAGGAAUUUGACGGUAUCGUAAGAAUAAGGAUCGGCUAACUCCGUGCCAGCAGCCGCGGUAAUACGGAGGAUCCAAGCGUUAUCCGGAAUCAUUGGGUUUAAAGGGUCCGUAGGCGGUUUAAUAAGUCAGUGGUGAAAGCCCAUCGCUCAACGGUGGAACGGCCAUUGAUACUGUUAGACUUGAAUUAUUAGGAAGUAACUAGAAUAUGUAGUGUAGCGGUGAAAUGCUUAGAGAUUACAUGGAAUACCAAUUGCGAAGGCAGGGUACUACUAAUUGAUUGA
rnacentral:rRNA from 1 species